UACAGGGGGGUGCAAACGUUGCUCGGAAUCAUUGGGCGUAAAGCGCGUGUAGGCGGCCCGGUAAGUCCGCUGUGAAAGUCGGGGGCUCAACCCUCGAAUGCCGGUGGAUACUGUCGGGCUAGAGUGCGGAAGAGGCGAGUGGAAUUCCUGGUGUAGCGGUGAAAUGCGCAGAUAUCAGGAGGAACACCAAUGGCGAAGGCAGCACUCUGGGACGGUACUGACGCUGAGACGCGAAAGCGUGGGGAGCAAACAGG
rnacentral:rRNA from 1 species